rnacentral:tRNA from 1 species
UGGGGGUAUAGCUCAAUCGGUUAGAGCAGCGAACUCAUAAUUCGUUGGUUGGGGGUUCAAGUCCCUCUACCCCCAU